rnacentral:rRNA from 1 species
AGGGCAAGUCUGGUGCCAGCAGCCGCGGUAAUUCCAGCUCCAAUAGCGUAUAUUAAAGUUGUUGCAGUUAAAAAGCUCGUAGUUGAAUUUCGGGGUUCUACCGUUGGUCGGGCUUUGUCUGUACUGGCGUGUAGAAUUUCUACCUUCUGGGGAACCAUUAUGUUAUUAAUUUAGCGUAGUGGGAAACCAGGACCUUUACCUUGAAAAAAUUAGAGUGUUCAAAGCAGGCUUAUGUCUGAAUACAUUAGCAUGGAAUAAUAGAAUAGGACGGUGGUCCUGUUUUGUUGGUUUCUGAAUCACCGUAAUGAUUAAUAGGGAUAGUUGGGGGCAUUAGUAUUCAAUUGUCAGAGGUGAAAUUCUUGGAUUUAUUGAAGACUAACUUCUGCGAAAGCAUUUGCCAAGGAUGUUUUCAUUAAUCAAGAACGAAAGUUAGGGGAUCGAAGACGAUCAGAUACCGUCGUAGUCUUAACCAUAAACUAUGCCGACUAGGGAUCGGACGGUGUUAGUAUUUUGACCCGUUCGGCGCCUUACGGGAA